GAUGAACGCUGGCGGCGUGCCUAAUACAUGCAAGUCGAGCGAACAGACGAGGAGCUUGCUCCUCUGACGUUAGCGGCGGACGGGUGAGUAACACGUGGAUAACCUACCUAUAAGACUGGGAUAACUUCGGGAAACCGGAGCUAAUACCGGAUAAUAUAUUGAACCGCAUGGUUCAAUAGUGAAAGACGGUUUUGCUGUCACUUAUAGAUGGAUCCGCGCCGCAUUAGCUAGUUGGUAAGGUAACGGCUUACCAAGGCAACGAUGCGUAGCCGACCUGAGAGGGUGAUCGGCCACACUGGAACUGAGACACGGUCCAGACUCCUACGGGAGGCAGCAGUAGGGAAUAUUCCGCAAUGGGCGAAAGCCUGACGGAGCAACGCCGCGUGAGUGAUGAAGGUCUUCGGAUCGUAAAACUCUGUUAUUAGGGAAGAACAAAUGUGUAAGUAACUAUGCACGUCUUGACGGUACCUAAUCAGAAGGCCACGGCUAACUACGUG
rnacentral:rRNA from 1 species